UGAGGAAUUUUGGUCAAUGGGCGCAAGCCUGAACCAGCCAUCCCGCGUGCAGGAAGACGGCCCUAUGGGUUGUAAACUGCUUUUCCAGGGGGAGAAACUUGCGCACGUGUUGCGCAAUUGACGGUACCCUGGGAAUAAGCAUCGGCUAACUCCGUGCCAGCAGCCGCGGUGAUACGGAGGAUGCGAGCGUUAUCCGGAUUCAUUGGGUUUAAAGGGUGCGUAGGCGGACUAUUAAGUCAGUGGUGAAAUCCUGCAGCUUAACUGCAGAACUGCCAUUGAUACUGAUAGCCUUGAGUUUGGUUAAGGUAGGCGGAAUGUGUAAUGUAGCGGUGAAAUGCUUAGAUAUUACACAGAACACCGAUUGCGAAGGCAGCUUGCUGGGCCAAUACUGACGCUGAUGCACGAAAGCGUGGGGAUCGAACA
rnacentral:rRNA from 1 species